rnacentral:rRNA from 1 species
UGGGGAAUAUUGGACAAUGGGCGAAAGCCUGAUCCAGCCAUGCCGCGUGUGUGAAGAAGGUCUUCGGAUUGUAAAGCACUUUAAGUUGGGAGGAAGGGCAUUAACCUAAUACGUUAGUGUUUUAACGUUACCGACAGAAUAAGCACCGGCUAACUCUGUGCCAGCAGCCGCGGUAAUACAGAGGGUGCAAGCGUUAAUCGGAAUUACUGGGCGUAAAGCGCGCGUAGGUGGUUUGUUAAGUUGGAUGUGAAAUCCCCGGGCUCAACCUGGGAACUGCAUUCAAAACUGACUGACUAGAGUAUGGUAGAGGGUGGUGGAAUUUCCUGUGUAGCGGUGAAAUGCGUAGAUAUAGGAAGGAACACCAGUGGCGAAGGCGACCACCUGGACUAAUACUGACACUGAGGUGCGAAAGCGUGGGGAGCAAACA